rnacentral:rRNA from 1 species
AUUGAACGCUGGCGGCAGGCCUAACACAUGCAAGUCGAACGAGUGGCGGACGGGUGAGUAAUGUCUGUGAAACUGCCUGACGGAGGGGGAUAACUACGGGAAACGGUGGCUAAUACCGCAUACCAUCAGAUGUGCCCAGAUGGGUGUAGCUUGUGGGUGGGGGAACGGCGCACCAAGGCGAAGAUCCCUAGCUGGUCUGAGAGGAUGACCAGCCACACUGGAACUGAGACACGGCCCAGACUCCUACGGGAGGCAGCAGUGGGGAAUAUUGAACAAUGGGCGAAAGCCUGAUGGAGCAAUGCCGCGUGUAUGAAGAAGGCCUUCGGGUUGUAAAGUACUUUCAGCGGGGAGGCGUUACCCGCAGAGGAAGCACCGGCUAACUCCGUGCCAGCAGCCGCGGUAAUUC